GCCGUAUAUAAAUCACUGCGCCACAAAAUUGCAUUUGACAUAUACAUUUUCUAUCUUCUCUGGAGCAAUGUACUCGCCUUGUGCCAACUUAAAGAUAAUCCUCUUCCUAUCAAUGAUUUUGAGACGACCGCCAGCUAUCCAUGUUCCAAUAUCUCCGGGGUUCGGCUGAUCAUCAGAUGUAUAGUUCACUUCCGGAACAUCUAUAAGUUUUAUCUCACAGCAUGGACUUGGGGAGCCAAACGAUUAUCCGCGGUUACGGGUCACAGUUGUGCUCGCUAUAAUGACAAUGCCGACAUUCACUUACGGUAAUUCAAGUGAUUCCAUUUGGCUUGCUGCUGUUAUGCUAACGUUUUU